ensembl:lncRNA
GACCACUGUGGUUUAUAACUUGCUGAUAGAGCAAUAGUCUAUUAGAAUUAUUAGUCUAAGUGUAUUAUUGGCUGAGUGUCUACCCUCGAUAAAACCUGUUUGAUAAGGAUAUAUUAUGAAUGGAGUAUUUUGCAAAGUAUUUUAAGGUCUGCAUUUAUAAGUGAAAUUGGGCGGCAGCUGGAUAGGAGUGUAGGAUCUUAUUCUGGUUUAAGAAGUAGACUAAUGGUGGCUAAGUUUAUCUUUAAGGAUUAAGAUUGUUUGUUCUGCAUUUGAGUGACCAUUCUGAAAAAACAGGUGCUAGAGAAGGCCAAAUGUCAGCAUCAGAAGGAUUAGUCUGUGAUGAGUAUAAAGCUUCAUAAAAGUUUUUAAAAUAUUUAUUUAUUUGCUGUGGGUCAUGAGGAAUCUCCCCAGUGGAAUCCUUUAUAGAAUAAAUUUCUUUUUCUUUUUUUUUUUUUUUUUUUAGCUUUAACUGGUUUGUAAGGAAUUUUCUAGAUUUAUGUUCAAAGUUCUCCAAAUACCAACUUUGCAUCAGAGACUGUGUUUCCUCAGUAAUUACUUCAUUUAAUUUCAGUUUUCUCAGGUUGUAAAUUAUAUAUUCUUAUGGUGAGGUAGUUGUAAAGAUUUAAUUCUUUAUUCUAGUUAAUGAAACAACUAAUACAAGUAUUUUCCCUUCAUCUCUUAUAUGAACAUUAAUUUUCCUGUUGUCCAUAGCCAGGUGAUUCCUGGCAGGUCAUUAUUAUAUAAAUACAUGUUUUCCCUUGGCCCAACACCACAUAGAUUCCAUGUAACAAACCUCAGUGUGGUCAUGUUUAAACUAACUGGUGGAGUGUUGAAUGUUAAAGUUGUCUGUGCGUGUCUGUGUAUCUGUUAUCUUGUAUGGCUGUAUAUAAUUGUAGCUCAGCUCGUCGACUUCCCAAACGAUGGACACAAUGAAAAGCGAUGUUUUUAACUAUGUCCUCCAGGAGUUUCAGGUGAGUCUGGAUAAAAUCACUCACCGUUGU